rnacentral:rRNA from 1 species
GAGUUUGAUCAUGGCUCAGAUUGAACGCUGGCGGCAGGCCUAACACAUGCAAGUCGAGCGGAAACGACANUAACAAUCCUUCGGNUGNGUUAAUGGGCGUCGAGCGGCGGACGGGUGAGUAAUGCCUAGGAAAUUGCCUUGAUGUGGGGGAUAACCAUUGGAAACGAUGGCUAAUACCGCAUAAUGCCUACGGGCCAAAGAGGGGGAUCUUCGGACCUCUCGCGUCAAGAUAUGCCUAGGUGGGAUUAGCUAGUUGGUGAGGUAAUGGCUCACCAAGGCGACGAUCCCUAGCUGGUCUGAGAGGAUGAUCAGCCACACUGGAACUGAGACACGGUCCAGACUCCUACGGGAGGCAGCAGUGGGGAAUAUUGCACAAUGGGCGAAAGCCUGAUGCAGCCAUGCCGCGUGUAUGAAGAAGGCCUUCGGGUUGUAAAGUACUUUCAGUUGUGAGGAAGGG